ACGGUACAGGAAGCAGCUUGCUGUUUCGCUGACGAGUGGCGGACGGGUGAGUAAUGUCUGGGAAACUGCCUGAUGGAGGGGGAUAACUACUGGAAACGGUAGCUAAUACCGCAUAACGUCGCAAGACCAAAGAGGGGGACCUUCGGGCCUCUUGCCAUCGGAUGUGCCCAGAUGGGAUUAGCUUGUUGGUGGGGUAACGGCUCACCAAGGCGACGAUCCCUAGCUGGUCUGAGAGGAUGACCAGCCACACUGGAACUGAGACACGGUCCAGACUCCUACGGGAGGCAGCAGUGGGGAAUAUUGCACAAUGGGCGCAAGCCUGAUGCAGCCAUGCCGCGUGUAUGAAGAAGGCCUUCGGGUUGUAAAGUACUUUCAGCGGGGAGGAAGGGAGUAAAGUUAAUACCUUUACUCAUUGACGUUACCCGCAGAAGAAGCACCGGCUAACUCCGUGCCAGCAGCCGCGGUAAUACGGAGGGUGCAAGCGUUAAUCGGAAUUACUGGGCGUAAAGCGCACGCAGGCGGUUUGUUAAGUCAGAUGUGAAAUCCCCGGGCUCAACCUGGGAACUGCAUCUGAUACUGGCAAGCUUGAGUCUCGUAGAGGGGGGUAGAAUUCCAGGUGUAGCGGUGAAAUGCGUAGAGAUCUGGAGGAUACCGGUGGCGAAGCGGCCCCUGGACGAAACUGACCUCAGUGCGAAGC
rnacentral:rRNA from 1 species